rnacentral:rRNA from 1 species
UACGUAGGUGGCAAGCGUUGUCCGGAUUUACUGGGCGUAAAGCGCACGUAGGCGGAUCGAUCAGUCAGGGGUGAAAUCCCAGGGCUCAACCCUGGAACUGCCUUUGAUACUGUCGAUCUGGAGUAUGGAAGAGGUGAGUGGAAUUCCGAGUGUAGAGGUGAAAUUCGUAGAUAUUCGGAGGAACACCAGUGGCGAAGGCGGCUCACUGGUCCAUUACUGACGCUGAGGUGCGAAAGCGUGGGGGAGCAAACAGG